AGCGAUUUUACUUCCUUAGGAAAAAAAUUUAAAGGUGAGAAAUUUAAAAGCAUUUUUAAUUGUGUCCACUUUGGUUUAUUACAACGACAAUGUGGACAUGCUUCUUUUUUUUUUAAUAAAACCGCAGCAUCGGUGACCGAAUGAUCUAAGUAGUUAAACUACUCUAUUACUAGCCUGUCAACACUGAGGUUGUGAGGAAUUCUGCACGUGACAGGUGUGUUUAAUUGUAAGGUUUCCUACCGAAUGUCAGCGGUUUUCUCAAAGAACUCCGGCUUUCUCCAUAAAAUAAUCAUAAAACAACUGACCGCCAUGAAAUAGCCAAUGUGUUUAUGAUCGAUGUACCUUCUCUUCCAAUUUCUUCGUUAAAAGUAGAAUAGAAUGAAAUUCAAAACAGUGUGGCUGUGGCCAUUGAUUGAAAAAUUAAAUUCAUCCAUUGACUGGGACAAUUUACGUGAACGUUUGACUGUAACGACCACUGUUCACGACGUACCUACGAUAGACAUUUAAACUGUGGGGUCACCAAAGGUUUCUUAACGCAUUUAACUAUAAAAUAAUUCGAAAUAUUAAUCAGGAAUAACCUUUAUGUUUUGAUUUAUAUAAUUGAUAUAAAUCAAAACAUCGUGUUAUUUCUGAUUAAUUUUUCGAAUUACUUUAUGAAGGUGUUGAGAACCUUUGGUGACCCCAUAGUUUAAGUGUCUUUAAAAAGUACAUAGUGAGCAGUGGUCGUUACAUACAAACGUUCACCUAAAUUGUCCCAGUCAAUGGAUGAAUUUAAUGUGUCAAUCAAUGGCCACAGCCACACUGUUUUGAUUGUCAUUCUAAGUUAUAACGAAGAUGUUAUUUAUGAAUACAUGUUGUAUUAUACAUAUAUUCUUGUGUCAAUGUCAUGUUAUUAAUAUAUAUAUAUAUUCAACAUGUUUUACAUGUAGUAAUACUAUUUAUUUUUUAUUUGAUUUAAGGUUUUCAGUUUCGGUAAAUAGGUAGAGUAAAAAUUUCCAACAUCCUUUAUUUCUGAGUAUCAAGUGUCUAAAAACAAUCAAUAUAUAGAUUCAAAUUCUGCACACUUGCAAGCCUAACGAAUUUUAAAUGAAAUGUAAUAAGGAUUUGCUUAUAUUUGCUGAUAAGUGUAAACUAUGAGUAUUUAGUUUCAGAACGAAAUUGGUACAAAUUUAAAGGACACUGUUACUACUACAGCACAAAUCUUACUGAUUGGUUCACGGCAGAGGUAAGAGAUACUCGUUGUCGAAUACAAAUAAUUUCAAAAGAAACGCAAGGCAGCAUCACUUUAUUUGUAUGAAUGUAUAUCGGUUAAAAGUUCGUACCCCGAAAAAACCACUCACCACUCAUCUGUCUAGAGAAACAUUAGAACAAUAACAAAUUUGGUAGAAUUUCAACCUUGACACACAUCUAUUCUUAGUAUUUGUUUCUUAUGUAGAAUCAUUUAUAAGCUAUGAAAUAAACAGGAAAAUACAUAACCCCCAUUUAAAGUUAAAGGUUGUAUAUCGAGUUUUGACAAUGCUUGCAGGUCGAGAACUCUAGAUUUCCUGACGUCAGAAUAUAUUUGCAUAGUAAUUUCCCAAACACAAGGCCAAUGAUGGCCUUGAAUAACUGACCAAUCGAUUCAAUGAACUACAAUGCAUUGUGGGCUACUACGAGUUUACUAUCACUAGCAAACACGUGGAAUUAGUGGAAAAAGUGAAAAUUAAUAUAGUGUCUGGGAUUCUCAAAAUAAAUGUUUUUAUUCUACGAAUAUGUUUAUUGAAAUAUAUAUAACAUAAUCUUCAAUUUGCAUGCUCAGAUUAAAAAUGUAUUGUUUACGGGCUUCACAAUUCGACUUUCUUUUUCGCCUUGUAAAGUAGUUGAACAGGUUUGUUCCAAAGUUAUGUCUUGUACCUGUGCACUAAUUUCACGGCGUGAAAUAGUGAAACCUCAGAUAGAGUGACCACUAUUCAGAACGUAAAUGUUUUGAGCUCUUUAAACAUGUAUAAUGUCAUUUAAAAACAUUUCUGCCUCGAAAACAAGAAAACUGGCACAGAAACAAGUCUAUAUGUACUGGAUGUGUAAAUUUUUUUUUAUCGGGACAUGAACUAUAAAAAAGAACAUCAUAAUAUUCAGUAUCAUGAUUAAGCUAAGUGUUAUAAAAGUGGGUAGGAAUUGUGUUUGAUAUUCGAGUCAAUAAGACGUAAUCUUUCAAUCAGUUUACAGCCGAUUGCAGGUAAGGUAAACUGCCAUCCUUUAAGAGUAGACAAGUCCGAAUAUACCCAAUUUACAUGUCUGUAAGUCUAGACUAAUUCGAAAGGAGGGUAGUAUACCUUACAUGAUAUCGCCUUUACGGUUCAGCAAACAAGCUAACAAAGGAUUCUACCUUUCAUUACACACUCAAUGAAUUCGACUGUAAUUGAGGUCUGGAGCUAACAUGCAAGUAACUGCUAGUAGUCCUUUGUUAAUUUAUGUAUUUUUGUUUAGUUUCUUUUGUUACCUAUUCUGACUCGGACUUCUCUUUAACUGAGUUUACUGUGUUAAUUGCUGUGUGUUUGUUAUACCUACAUUGGAUAGCUGUAUAGAUUAUAGGGGGGAGGGGAGAUUCAAAAUAUGUUCAACUCGCGGCAUGUUUGCUCCUGUCCCAAGUCAGGAGCAUCUGGCCUUUGAUAGUCUUGACUCGAAGUUUAGAAUGCCUUCCAUUGUCACUGAACUAGUAUACAUAUUUGUGCCAGCUAAAGGACUCCUCCGGGUGCGGAGAUUCUCGCUGUAUUAAAGACCCAUUGGUGACCUUCGGCUUAGUCAUAUUUUGUAUAGUUUUCAUCCAUUGAUAAAGUCCGUCGUUGCGUAUUUUAUCCAAAAUUACCUCAGAGGUAUUUUUAGUUCGGUUGCUGUCCUAUUGACGUAUGUGCAAUAUCUCAAAUUAUCUAAACCUGUUGAUCGUAUUGGAUGCUAUAUUACCUUUUAAGUUUUCUAAAUUGUCUUUGUAUAUAGAAAGGAGAUAAGGUAUGAGUGCGAAAUGAGAUCUCUUUCCACCCAAGACGCAAUCUACAAAACUAAGUUUGUCUUAUGGGUAAUUGUGUUUAUCACUGUUGUUUUGUUGCUGUUUGGUGGACGAUUACAUAAAAUCUUCUUGUCAUCACCAAACAUAUUUAUAGCUAUAUAUCGGGUAUUUCAAACACUUGUUUCUUCGCAUAGAAACAACUUUUCGUUAAUCUGAGCAUGGAACGAAUACUUUAUAUCACGAAAUAUAAAUGUGGAUACAAAGAAUGAAAAACUAAGCAAAAUUGUUAAACAGGGCACUGCAAGUUGCACGAAAAAAUGUGUUGUAUCUCAGUAAAUAACACGUGUUCUUGUUUGAUUGUAAUCACGUAGUAGUCCAUAAUGCAUUGUUACUCAUUUAGUGAUUGUCAAAAACCCAGGUGAAAAUGAAUUGCGUCACACGUAAAUAAACAAUUACAUGUGCGAGAACAUAAAUAUGCUAAUUUAUGCAUUGCCAUAUAAGGUAGUGUUCCCGACCUGUUGAGUAGGAAUUUUUAUUUGUUAACCAAGUUUUAGAUCUUACAAAACCACGUUUGUAAAAGCUGCAGUUUCAAAGCAGAAGUUACAGUCUUGCAAAUCUUCGUUAGUGGUGCUAAGUUCCCACUUUGACAGCUGUAAGGACACCGAGGGCACUGCAAGUUGAAAACGAAGCGGCAAAGGGUAUGGAGGAAGAAUUUUCAAUUUGCGUUUCGUUUUACAAAAAGGUUAUGUAGUUUUUGAUGAAAUCUCAUCUCUAUAGCUUUUGUUUUUACAACUUUUUUUAGCAUUGUAUCCUAGAUCUGGCGGGUAAGCUAAGAUCAAGGAAUACCUGAUCCUUUUCAUUAAUGGGGUAUAAAUGUGUUUUCUGUAUGCCAAGACGUCAGAAAUGUAUAAUCUAUUGUGUUUUUUCAGCAAUAUUUAUGUUACAUGACCUGUGAUUCAUGGGAACUCCUACCAAACAUUUUGGAAGUGGCCCAAAGUAGAGUUUCUUAUAUUGAGCCUCUCAAACAAGCAUUUGUAACACCUAACAGCUGUAUAUAUAUAGUAUAUUUAGAUUAAAGUUUCAUCAGAAUCGUAGAUCCUAGAUAAAUCCUAUAUAAAAAGAGCAAAUUUUAUAAGACAUAUGUCCCCUAUUAAAACGUUUAAGGACUAUUCCAGAUGUUUCAAGAAUGCAACAUAUGCAACUUCAAUUGAAAAAAGAGAGAUUUAUGUUUCAGUGCAUAUACAAUGUAUGAUUCACUAUAAUACAAUUGUUUUCUUUUUCCAGUAAACAUAAGGGGCAACUUGCACCCAAACAGAAUUCUAAGUAUGAAAUGAUAUCAAUUGUUCGUAUCGUUUUUUUAGAAUAAUUGUAGAAAAAUAGGAGGAUAUUUAGUAAAGAUUAAUGAAAAAGCUGAAAACGAAGCCCUAUCAACGAACAGACCACUUAAGAGUGAG
rnacentral:lncRNA from 1 species